rnacentral:rRNA from 1 species
UUGGUGCUUGCAUUGAACCUGGAAAGCGGCGAAAGGGAGAGUAACGCGUAGGAUACCUGCCCCUGGGUCUGGGAUAGCGGUGGGAAACCGCCGGUAAUACCGGAUAAUGUCCCCGGACCAAAGGUGUGAUUCCGCCUAGGGAUGGUCCUGCGUCCUAUUAGUUUGUUGGUGGGGUAACGGCUCACCAAGACGAUGAUGGGUAGCGGGCGUGAGAGCGUGGCCCGUCUCACUGGGACUGAGACACUGCCCAGACACCUACGGGUGGCUGCAGUCGAGAAUCUUCCGCAAUGGACGCAAGUCUGACGGAGCGACGCCGCGUGCGGGAUGAAGGCCUUCGGGUUGUAAACCGCUGUCAGUGGGAAGGAAAUCUGUUGGGGCUAUCCUCAGCAGUUGACCGAACCGCAGAGGAAGUCCGGGCUAAGUACGUGCCAGCAGCCGCGGUAACACGUACCGGACAAACGUUAUUCGGAAUUACUGGGCUUAAAGAGUGCGUAGGCGGCCUGGCAGGUGGGGUGUGAAAGCCCACGGCUCAACCGUGGAAUUGCGCUUCAAACCGCUAGGCUUGAGGGAGACAGGGGUGAGCGGAACUGAUGGUGGAGCGGUGAAAUGCGUUGAUAUCAUCAGGAACACCAGUGGCGUAGGCGGCUCACUGGGUCUCUUCUGACGCUGAGGCACGAAAG